rnacentral:rRNA from 1 species
AUUGAACGCUGGCGGCAUGCCUUACACAUGCAAGUCGAACGGUAACGCGGGGCAACCCGGCGACGAGUGGCGAACGGGUGAGUAAUGUAUCGGAACGUGCCCAGUUGUGGGGGAUAACUGCUCGAAAGAGCAGCUAAUACCGCAUACGACCUGAGGGUGAAAGCGGGGGAUCGCAAGACCUCGCGCAAUUGGAGCGGCCGAUAUCAGAUUAGGUAGUUGGUGGGGUAAAGGCUCACCAAGCCAACGAUCUGUAGCUGGUCUGAGAGGACGACCAGCCACACUGGGACUGAGACACGGCCCAGCCUCCUACGGGAGGCAGCAGUGGGGAAUUUUGGGCAAUGGACGCAAGUCUGAUCCAGCCAUGCCGCGUGCGGGAAGAAGGCCUUCGGGUUGUAAACCGCUUUUGUCAGGGAAGAAACGCUCUGGGUUAAUACCUCGGGGUAAUGACGGUACCUGAAGAAUAAGCACCGGCUAACUACGUGCCAGCCGCCGCCGUAAGAC